CUUUUAGCUCAGAUGGCUAGAGCAUCGCGCUAAUAACGCGGGAGUCAUUGGUUCAAAU
rnacentral:tRNA from 1 species